CCUACGGGGGCAGCAGUGAGGAAUAUUGGUCAAUGGGCUUACGCCUGAACCAGCCAAGUCGCGUGAGGGAAGACUGGCCUAUGGGUUGGAAACCUUUUUUGGCAGGGAGCAACGACGGCUCAGGGUAGCCGGACUGAGAGUACCUGAAGAAAAAGCAUCGGCUAACUCCGUGCCAGCAGCCGCGGUAAUACGGAGGAUGCGAGCGUUAUCCGGAUUUAUUGGGUUUAAAGGGUGCGUAGGCGGAAUGCCAAGUCAGCGGUAAAAUCGAGGGGCUCAACCUCGCUCUGCCGUUGAAACUGGCGUUCUUGAGUACGCUAGAAGUAUGCGGAAUGCGUGGUGUAGCGGUGAAAUGCAUAGAUAUCACGCAGAACUCCGAUUGCGAAGGCAGCAUACCGGCGCCCAACUGACGCUGAAGCACGAAAGCGUGGAUAUCGAACAGGAUUAGAUACCCUAGUAGUC
rnacentral:rRNA from 1 species